GACGAACGCUGGCGGCGUGCUUAACACAUGCAAGUCGAACGGUUAAGCGCCUUCCUUUUUGGUGGGUGUGGAUGAGUGGCGAACGGGUGAGUAACACGUGAGUAACCUGCCCCCUUCUUCUGGAUAACCGCAUGAAAGUUUGGCUAAUACGGGAUAUUCUGGGUCUGUCGCAUGAUGGGUCUGGGAAAGAUAUUGUUUCGGUGGGGGAUGGGCUCGCGGCCUAUCAGCUUGUUGGUGGGGUGAUGGCCUACCAAGGCGGUGACGGGUAGCCGGCCUGAGAGGGUGGGCGGUCACAGUGGGACUGAGACAUGGACCAGACUCCGACGGGCGGCAGCAGGGGGGAAUAUUGCACAAUGGGAGGAAGCCUGAAGCAGCGACGCCGCGUGAGGGAUGGAGGCCGUCGGGUUGUGAACCUCUUUCGCCAGUGAAGCAGGCCUGCCUCGUUUGUGGGUGGGUUGACGGUAGCUGGAUAAGAAGCGCCGGCUAACUACGUG
rnacentral:rRNA from 1 species